rnacentral:rRNA from 1 species
UACAGAGGUCUCAAGCGUUGUUCGGAUUCAUUGGGCGUAAAGGGUGCGUAGGUGGCGCGGUAAGUCGGGUGUGAAAUCUCGGAGCUUAACUCCGAAAUUGCAUUCGAUACUGCCGUGCUCGAGGACUGGAGAGGAGACUGGAAUUCAUGGUGUAGCAGUGAAAUGCGCAGAUAUCAGGAGGAACACCGAUGGCGAAGGCAGGUCUCUGGGACGGUACUGACGCUGAGACGCGAAAGCGUGGGGAGCAAACAGG